GGCGACAUGGUCUAGUAGCAUGAUUCCUCGUUUGGGUUUACCAGAUGAUUCGAGGAGGUCCAGGGUUCAAUUCCCUGUGUCGCCC